rnacentral:rRNA from 1 species
CCUACGGGCGGCAGCAGUGGGGAAUAUUGCACAAUGGGGGAAACCCUGAUGCAGCAACGCCGCGUGAGUGAUGACGGCCUUCGGGUUGUAAAGCUCUUUCCUCAGGGACGAUAAUGACGGUACCUGAUGAGGAAGCCACCGCUAACUACUUGCCAGCAGCCGCGGGAAUACGUAGGUGGCGAGCGUUGUCCUGAUUUACUGGGCGGAAAGGGAGCGUAGGCGGACUUUUAAGUAAGAUGUGAAAUACUCGGGCUCAACUUGAGUGCUGCAUUUGAAACUGGGAGUCUAGAGUGCAGGAGAGGAGAAUGGAAUUCCGAGUGUAGCGGUGAAAUGCGUAGAGAUUAGGAAGAACACCAGUGGCGAAGGCGAUUCUCUGGACUGUAACUGACGCUGAGGCUCGAAAGCGUGGGGAGCAAACAGGAUUAGAUACCCCGGUAGUC